rnacentral:lncRNA from 1 species
UGCAUAUUAUCACAGACUUCUGGCAAUGGGAAGAUUUGAAGUCUCAUGAGGAAAUUGGUAGAAUUACAUUCCUACACAGUCUCAAGCCACUCUUGGUUUUGUGACCCAGUCACCACCUGUGAAAAACCAGGUAUUUUCCAAAGCAACUGAGAGACACCUGCUCUGCACACAGUCCACUGCACACUGCUCUUCCAACUCAGCCCCUACACCGAGGAUCCUCCUUUCGCCACAACCUUCACAGGGUUUCGAGCAGAGCGCCAGAGAGUUUAGAAAGGUUCCAUCUGAGGCACCUUCAGCAGCUUCAUGGGUCACCUGCGGGAGCCAAGACAUUCAAAUUAACGUUGGUGGAAGACUUUGCAAGCUGUAACUCCGGAUGUUUCUGGACUCCUUCAGGGGUAAAUGCUGAGCAUGAUUCUUCCAGAGCCUUGAGACCGGAGCGCAGCUGUCAGUCGUCAUUCUGCAGUCUCACAGUGCCACCUUUUGGUACGUGGCCUCUCUUGUUUCCUAAUGGUGCAUUCCAGACAGCUGAUUCUUCGGGUGAUUUUUACAAUCCAACUUCCUUGGUUAUGGCUUGAUAUAAUUUCCCUGGAGAGUUCAGGCUUAGGGUAUGAUAAUACACCUUGGAUCUGCAAAGCAUUAAAAGAGAGGAUAUUGUCAGAUAUAUGAUCUAGCCAUGGACACAGGCCAGAUGCAUUUGUAACUAAAAGAGAAGGCCCUCUUGUCCCGGUCCGCUCCUAACUG